AGAGUUUGAUCCUGGCUCAGGAUGAACGCUAGCUACAGGCUUAACACAUGCAAGUCGAGGGGAAACGAUAUUGAAAGCUUGCUUUCUUUAGGCGUCGACCGGCGAAUGGGUGAGUAACGCGUAUCCAACCUGCCCCUGAGUAAGGGAUAGCCCAUCGAAAGAUGGAUUAAUACCUUAUGGUUUCCUUUGAAGGCAUCCGAUUAGGAAUAAAGAUUUAUCGCUGAGGGAUGGGGAUGCGUCUGAUUAGCUUGUUGGCGGGGUAACGGCCCACCAAGGCAACGAUCAGUAGGGGUUCUGAGAGGAAGGUCCCCCACAUUGGUACUGAGACACGGACCAAACUCCUACGGGAGGCAGCAGUGAGGAAUAUUGGUCAAUGGGCGCAAGCCUGAACCAGCCAAGUAGCGUGCAGGACGACUGCCCUAUGGGUUGUAAACUGCUUUUAUACGGGGAUAAAGUCAGAGUCGUGACUCUGUUUGCAGGUACCGUAUGAAUAAGGACCGGCUAAUUCCGUGCCAGCAGCCGCGGUAAUACAGAGGCCAAGAGCGUUGUUCGGAUUUACUGGGCGUAAAGGGCGCGUAGGCGGUCUUGCGUGUCAAGAGUGAAAUCUCCGGGCUCAACCCGGAAAGUGCGCUUGAAACUACAGGACUCGAGUCUGGGAGAGGGAAUCGAAAUAUAGGGAGUAGCGGUGAAAUGCUUUGAUAUCCUAUAGAACACAGGAGGCGAAGGCGGAUUCCUUGAACCAGCACGGUCGCUGAGGCGCGAAAGUCGGGGGAGCAAACAGGAUUAGAUACCUUGGUAGUCCCGACUUUAAACGGUGCUCACUCGGGGUGGGGCCAUGUCACCGGCCCCGUCCAUUAGCUAACGCGUUAAGUGUGCCGCCUGGGGAGUACGGCCGCAAGGCUAAAACUCAAAGAAAUUGACGGGGACCCGCACAAGCGGUGGAGCAUGUGGCUUAAUUCGAUGCAACGCGAAGAACCUUACCUGGACUUGACAUGCAGGUGGUAGGGAACUGAAAGGGGACCGACGGCGGCAACGCCGAGCCUGCACAGGUGCUGCAUGGCUGUCGUCAGCUCGUGCUGUGAGGUGUUGGGUUAAGUCCCGCAACGAGCGCAACCCCUGUCGCAUGUUGCCAGCAUUAAGUUGGGGACUCGUGCGAGACUGCCGGCGUCAAGCCGGAGGAAGGUGGGGACGACGUCAAGUCAUCAUGCCCCUUAUGCCCUGGGCUGCACACGUGCUACAAUGGCCGGUACAACGGGCUGCGACCUGGCGACAGGAAGCGAAUCCCUCAAAGCCGGCCCCAGUUCGGAUCGCAGGCUGCAACCCGCCUGCGUGAAGUCGGAGUUGCUAGUAAUCGCGGAUCAGCAUGCCGCGGUGAAUACGUUCCCGGGCCUUGUACACACCGCCCGUCAAG
rnacentral:rRNA from 1 species